GAGGGGAUCCGCAAGGACCUUUCGCUUACGGAGUGGCCGAUAUCAGAUUAGCUAGUUGGUGGGGUAAAGGCCUACCAAGGCGACGAUCUGUAGCGGGUCUGAGAGGAUGAUCCGCCACACUGGGACUGAGACACGGCCCAGACUCCUACGGGAGGCAGCAGUGGGGAAUUUUGGACAAUGGGGGCAACCCUGAUCCAGCCAUGCCGCGUGAGUGAAGAAGGCCUUCGGGUUGUAAAGCUCUUUCAGCUGGGAAAAAAUCGCAUCACCUAAUACGUGGUGUGGAUGAUGGUACCAGCAGAAGAAGCACCGGCUAACUACGUGCCAGCAGCCGCGGUAAUACGUAGGGUGCGAGCGUUAAUCGGAAUUACUGGGCGUAAAGCGUGCGCAGGCGGUUUUGUAAGACAGACGUGAAAUCCCCGGGCUUAACCUGGGAACUGCGUUUGUGACUGCAAGGCUAGAGUAUGGCAGAGGGGGGUAGAAUUCCACGUGUAGCAGUGAAAUGCGUAGAUAUGUGGAGGAAUACCGAUGGCGAAGGCAGCCCCCUGGGUCAAUACUGACGCUCAUGCACGAAAGCGUGGGGA
rnacentral:rRNA from 1 species